AGUAAAUUGGUUAAGUUAGAAAGGGCGCACGGUGGAUGCCUUGGCACUAGGAGCCGAAGAAGGACGGGACUAACACCGAUAUGCUUUGGGGAGCUGUACGUAAGCGUUGAUCCAGAGAUUUCCGAAUGGGGGAACCCACUAUCUUUAGUCGGAUAGUAUCCUUACGUGAAUACAUAGCGUGAGGAAGGCAGACCCAGGGAACUGAAACAUCUAAGUACCUGGAGGAAGAGAAAGAAAAAUCGAUUUCCUGAGUAGCGGCGAGCGAAACGGAAAGAGCCCAAACCAAGAAGCUUGCUUCUUGGGGUUGUAGGACACUCUAUACGGAGUUACAAAAGAAAGUUAUAAAUGAAGCGGUCUGGAAAGGCCCGCCAAAGACGGUAACAGCCCGGUAGUUGAAAUGGCUUUCCCUCCAGAGUGGAUCCUGAGUACGGCGGAACACGUGAAAUUCCGUCGGAAUCCGGGAGGACCAUCUCCCAAGGCUAAAUACUCCCUAGUGACCGAUAGUGAACCAGUACCGUGAGGGAAAGGUGAAAAGCACCCCGGAAGGG
rnacentral:rRNA from 1 species